rnacentral:rRNA from 1 species
UGGCGGACGGGUGAGUAACGCGUGGGUAACCUGCCUUACACAGGGGGAUAACACCUGGAAACAGGUGCUAAUACCGCAUAAGCGCACAGGGCCGCAUGGCCCGGUGUGAAAAACUCCGGUGGUGUAAGAUGGACCCGCGUCUGAUUAGCUUGUUGGCGGGGUAGAGGCCCACCAAGGCGACGAUCAGUAGCCGGCCUGAGAGGGUGGACGGCCACAUUGGGACUGAGACACGGCCCAGACUCCUACGGAAGGCAGCAG